AAUUAGCAGGGUGAUGAUAAAAGAGGGGGGAUUAAUGAUUUCCCAGCCCAAGUCCCUGAGUUACAGGGUCCUUCUUCCCCAAUCUGCUCAGAAGCUGGACUCUCAGGGCAGGCAUUCAACACCUCAGGAAAAAAAGGAAAAGACAUCUUCCUCUAGUUAUUGUAUAGCUACAGCAUGACUUUGGAUCACCACCAAGUGACAUUGCAGGGCCAGAAAGGGACCAACAUCAGAAAAAAGAAUGGUGUUUUUGGAGCCAGUUCAAAACUAAAAUGCCAGCUUUUCCUAUGGUAAAAAAAAAAAAAAAAAGUCAUACUGGUCAUAUUUAAGUAUUCUAUUUUAUACAACUUCAUGUCUGUAUUUUACCCAUUUACUCAUAAAUUAAUUGUUGUUAAAAAUAUAAAUAGUAACUUAAAUUACAUUCUGCUGGCUGGAAGUUUUAGUAAUAAAAUCUGAAUUAGACUUUUGUCUGACUAAACA
rnacentral:lncRNA from 1 species